CUCUGUGCUGCCAGGCAGCAGGCGCCGCCGCCGCCGCCGCACUUCCGGGUGCCAUUGCAGGAUGCAGAAAGCCUCAGUGUUGCUCUUCCUGGCCUGGGUCUGCUUCCUCUUCUACGCUGGCAUUGCCCUCUUCACCAGUGGCUUCCUGCUCACUCGUUUGGAGCUCACCAACCAUAGCAGCUGCCAAGAGCCUCCAGGCCCUGGGUCCCUGCCAUGGGGGAGCCAAGGGAAACCUGGGGCCUGCUGGAUGGCUUCCCGAUUUUCACGGGUUGUGUUGGUGCUGAUAGAUGCUCUGCGAUUUGACUUCGCCCAGCCCCAGCACUCACACGUGCCUGGAGAGCCUCUUGUCUCCCUACCCUUCCUGGGCAAACUAAGCUCCUUGCAGAGGAUCCUGGAGAUUCAGCCCCACCAUGCCCGGCUCUACCGAUCUCAGGUUGACCCUCCUACCACCACCAUGCAGCGCCUCAAGGCCCUCACCACUGGCUCACUCCCUACCUUUAUUGAUGCUGGUAGUAACUUCGCCAGCCACGCCAUAGUGGAAGACAAUCUCAUUAAGCAGCUCACCAGUGCAGGAAGGCGUGUAGUCUUCAUGGGAGAUGAUACCUGGAAAGACCUUUUCCCUGGUGCUUUCUCCAAAGCUUUCUUCUUCCCAUCCUUCAAUGUCAGAGACCUAGACACAGUAGACAAUGGCAUCCUGGAACACCUCUACCCUACCAUGGACAGUGGUGAAUGGGACGUGCUGAUUGCUCACUUCCUGGGUGUGGACCACUGUGGCCACAAGCAUGGCCCUCACCACCCUGAAAUGGCCAAGAAACUUAGCCAGAUGGACCAGGUGAUCCAGGGACUUGUGGAGCGUCUGGAGAAUGACACACUGCUGGUAGUGGCUGGGGACCAUGGGAUGACCACAAAUGGAGACCAUGGAGGGGACAGUGAGCUGGAGGUCUCAGCUGCUCUCUUUCUGUAUAGCCCCACAGCACUCUUCCCCAGCACCCCACCAGAGGAGCCAGAUGUGAUUCCUCAAGUUAGCCUUGUGCCCACGCUGGCCCUGCUGCUGGGCCUGCCCAUCCCAUUUGGGAAUAUCGGGGAAGUGAUGACUGAGCUAUUCUCAGGGGGUGAGGACUCCCAGCCCCACUCCUCUGCUUUAGCGCAAGCCUCAGCUCUCCAUCUCAAUGCUCGGCAGGUGUCCCGAUUUCUUCAUACCUACUCAGCUGCUACUCAGGACCUUCAAGCUAAGGAGCUUCAUCAGCUGCAGAACCUCUUCUCCAAGGCCUCUGCUGACUACCAGUGGCUUCUCCAGAGCCCCAAGGGGGCUGAGGCGACACUGCCGACUGUGAUUGCUGAGCUGCAGCAGUUCCUACGGGGAGCUCGGGCCAUGUGCAUCGAGUCUUGGGCUCGUUUCUCUCUGGUCCGCAUGGCGGGGGGUGCUGCGCUCUUGGCUGCUUCCUGCUUUAUCUGCCUACUGGCAUCUCAGUGGGCAAUAUCCCCAGGCUUUCCAUUCCGUCCUCUACUCCUGAUACCUGUGGCCUGGGGCCUGGUUGGGGCCAUAGCGUAUGCUGGACUCCUGGGAACUAUUGAGCUGAAGCUAGAUCUCGUGCUUCUAGGGGCUGUGGCUGCAGUGAGCUCCUUCCUGCCUUUUCUGUGGAAAGCCUGGGCCGGCUGGGGGUCCAAGAGGCCCUUGGCAACCCUGUUUCCCUUCCCUGGGCCCGUCCUGUUACUCCUGCUGUUUCGCUUGGCUGUGUUCUUCUCUGAUAGUUUUGUUGUAGCUGAGGCCAGGGCCACCCCCUUCCUUUUGGGCUCAUUCGUCCUGCUCCUGGUUGUCCAGCUUCACUGGGAGGGCCAGCUGCUUCCACCUAAGCUGCUCACAAUGCCCCGACUUGGCACUUCAGCCACAACAAACCCCCCACGGCACAAUGGUGCAUAUGCCCUGAGACUUGGAAUUGGGUUGCUUUUAUGUACAAGGCUAGCUGGGCUUUUUCAUCGUUGCCCUGAAGAGACACCUGUUUGCCACUCCUCUCCCUGGCUGAGUCCUCUGGCAUCCAUGGUGGGUGGUCGAGCCAAGAAUUUGUGGUAUGGAACUUGUGUGGCGGCGCUGGUGGCCCUGUUAGCUGCCGUGCGCUUGUGGCUUCGCCGCUAUGGUAAUCUCAAGAGCCCCGAGCCACCCAUGCUCUUUGUGCGCUGGGGACUGCCCCUAAUGGCAUUGGGUACUGCUGCCUACUGGGCAUUGGCGUCGGGGGCAGAUGAGGCUCCCCCCCGUCUCCGGGCCUUGGUCUCUGGGGCAUCCAUGGUGCUGCCUCGGGCUGUAGCAGGGCUGGCUGCUUCAGGGCUUGCGCUGCUGCUCUGGAAGCCUGUGACGGUGCUGGUGAAGGCUGGGGCAGGCGCUCCAAGGACCAGGACUGUCCUCACUCCCUUCUCAGGCCCCCCCACUUCUCAAGCUGACCUGGAUUAUGUGGUCCCUCAAAUCUACCGACACAUGCAGGAGGAGUUCCGGGGCCGGCUAGAGAGGACCAAAUCUCAGGGUCCCCUGACUGUGGCUGCUUAUCAGUUGGGUAGUGUCUACUCAGCUGCUAUGGUCACAGCCCUCACCCUGUUGGCCUUCCCACUUCUGCUGUUGCAUGCGGAGCGCAUCAGCCUUGUGUUCCUGCUUCUGUUUCUGCAGAGCUUCCUUCUCCUACAUCUGCUUGCUGCUGGGAUACCCAUCACCACCCCUGGUCCUUUUACUGUGCCAUGGCAGGCAGUCUCGGCUUGGGCCCUCAUGGCCACACAGACCUUCUACUCCACAGGCCACCAGCCUGUCUUUCCAGCCAUCCAUUGGCAUGCAGCCUUUGUGGGAUUCCCAGAGGGUCAUGGCUCCUGUACUUGGCUGCCUGCUUUGCUAGUGGGAGCCAACACCUUUGCCUCCCAUCUCCUCUUUGCAGGCAGUAGGUUGCCCACUGCUCCUCCUCUGGCCUUUCCUGUGUGAGAGUCAAGGGCUGCGGAAGAGACAGCAGCCCCCAGGGAAUGAAGCCGAUGGCAGAGUCAGACCUGAGGAGGAAGAGGAGCCACUGAUGGAGAUGCGGCUCCGGGAUGCGCCUCACCACUUCCAUGCAGCGCUGCUGCAGCUGGGCCUCAAGUACCUCUUUAUCCUUGGUAUUCAGAUUCUGGCCUGUGCCUUGGCAGCCUCCAUCCUUCGCAGGCAUCUCAUGGUCUGGAAAGUGUUUGCCCCUAAGUUCAUUUUUGAGGCUGUGGGCUUCAUUGUGAGCAGCGUGGGACUUCUCCUGGGCAUAGCUUUGGUGAUGAGAGUGGAUGGUGCUGUGAGCUCCUGGUUCAGGCAGCUAUUUCUGGCCCAGCAGAGGUAACCUAGGCUGUGGUUACUGGCACAUGGCUACAGGGAGUGCUGGAGAACAGUGUAGCCUGGCCUGUACAGGUACUGGAUGAUCUGCAAGACAGGCUCAGCCAUACCUCUUACUACCAUGCAGCCAGGGGCUGCUGACUUCUAGGACUUCAUUAUUGUGUAAUUCAGGACCACAGUGGAGUAUGAUCCCUAACUCCUGAUUUGGAUGUAUCUGAGGGACAAAGGGGGUGGUCUCUGAAGUGGAAUAAAAUAGGCUGGGCAUGGUGGCUUGCACCUGUAAUCCCGGCACUUUGGGAGGCAGAGGCAGGAGGAUUGCUUGGUCCCAGGAGUUCAAGACCAGCCUGUGGAACAUAACAAGACCCCAUCUCUACUAUUUAAAAAAAAGUGGAAUAAAAUGAUAAUAUAAUUA